GAUGAACGCUGGCGGCGUGCCUAAUACAUGCAAGUCGAGCGAACGGACGAGAAGCUUGCUUCUCUGAUGUUAGCGGCGGACGGGUGAGUAACACGUGGAUAACCUACCUAUAAGACUGGGAUAACUUCGGGAAACCGGAGCUAAUACCGGAUGAUAUUUUGAACCGCACGGUUCAAAAGUGAAAGACGGUCUUGCUGUCACUUAUAGAUGGAUCCGCGCUGCAUUAGCUAGUUGGUAAGGUAACGGCUUACCAAGGCAACGAUGCAUAGCCGACCUGAGAGGGUGAUCGGCCACACUGGAACUGAGACACGGUCCAGACUCCUACGGGAGGCAGCAGUAGGGAAUCUUCCGCAAUGGGCGAAAGCCUGACGGAGCAACGCCGCGUGAGUGAUGAAGGUCUUCGGAUCGUAAAACUCUGUUAUUAGGGAAGAACAUAUGUGUAAGUAACUGUGCACAUCUUGACGGUACCUAAUCAGAAAGCCACGGCUAACUACGUG
rnacentral:rRNA from 1 species